UUAUUUACUUCUAGGAGGCGAGAUGUUUAUGCUGGCACCAUAGAAAACAUGCAUCUACACUGGAAAUAUCGAGAGGUCGUAAAGAUAAUUGUGAAAGGGAAAAUAUCUACACAUGCUUCUACUUCCAUCCGCAGGUUACAAGACCCAAAAGCUUGUUGACACGAAGACAAGCAUUGGCUCGGUCUAUUGAGCUUCAAAGACGAGAGGUCAACCGCGUCGACACUUACUAACAACUGGAUGGAGUACUUUUGUGACUUCCAAAAGAUUAGUUGUCGGAGAUACUUUUGUGUUUCUGAGAGGAAACAAUGGAGAAUUACGCGUUGUAGUGAGGCA